rnacentral:tRNA from 1 species
AAAUUGGUGGUUCAGUGGUAGAAUUCUUGCCUUCCAUGCAGGAGACACGAGUUCAAUUCCUGGCCAAUCCA